UACGAAGGGGGCUAGCGUUGCUCGGAAUCACUGGGCGUAAAGCGCACGUAGGCGGGUCUUUAAGUCAGGGGUGAAAUCCUGGAGCUCAACUCCAGAACUGCCUUUGAUACUGAGGAUCUUGAGUUCGGGAGAGGUGAGUGGAACUGCGAGUGUAGAGGUGAAAUUCGUAGAUAUUCGCAAGAACACCAGUGGCGAAGGCGGCUCACUGGCCCGAUACUGACGCUGAGGCACGAAAGCGUGGGGAGCGAACCGG
rnacentral:rRNA from 1 species